rnacentral:rRNA from 1 species
UACGUAGGGUGCGAGCGUUAAUCGGAAUUACUGGGCGAAAAGCGUGCGCAGGCGGUUAUUUAAGUCAGGUGUGAAAGCCCUGGGCUUAACCUAGGAAUUGCGCUUGAGACUGGAUAGCUUGGAGUGCGGCAGAGGGAGGUGGAAUUCCACGUGUAGCAGUGAAAUGCGUAGAUAUCGGGAGGAACAUCUGUGGCGAAGGCGACACCCUGGACCAGCACUGACACUGAGGCACGAAAGCGUGGGGAGCAAACAGG